rnacentral:rRNA from 1 species
GAUGAACGCUGGCGGCGUGCCUAAUACAUGCAAGUCGAGCGAACAGACGAGGAGCUUGCUCCUCUGACGUUAGCGGCGGACGGGUGAGUAACACGUGGAUAACCUACCUAUAAGACUGGGAUAACUUCGGGAAACCGGAGCUAAUACCGGAUAAUAUAUUGAACCGCAUGGUUCAAUAGUGAAAGACGGUUUUGCUGUCACUUAUAGAUGGAUCCGCGCCGCAUUAGCUAGUUCGUAAGGUAACGGCUUACCAAGGCAACGAUGCGUAGCCGACCUGGGAGGGUGGUCGGCCACACUGGAACUGAGACACGGUCCAGACUCCUACGGGAGGCAGCAGUAGGGAAUCUUCCGCAAUGGGCGAAGGCUUGACGGAGCAACGCCGCGUGAGUGAUGAAGGUCUUCGGAUCGUAAAACUCUGUUAUUAGGGAAGAACAAAUGUGUAAGUAACUAUGCACGUCUUGACGGUACCUAAUCAGAAAGCCACGGCUAACUACGUG